CUUUGAGUUUGUUUGCUCUAAUACAGGCAGGAAUCAUGCCAGUGCUCACCAAACAACAUCUGAAUUCUCCAUACAACUCUGCUUUGCUGUGGUGUUUAAUUACCCUCAGAAGUUGUUCCUGGGCGUGCAUGUGUGACUAAAACAGCUACCAUUAAAGACAAGUUCUGCAUUGCAUUACUGGACUAAUAUUGCUGAGAAUAAUGUGACCAGAAUAGCUACUCGUGCCUCAAGGCCAGAAAUGAUCCAUGCCAAGCCCACCUCCAUCCCUCCCCCUGUAUUGCCUCAUCUGUGCUGACAUUUCCUUGUGAAUAUUUAAGCUCUCUUCUUCCUUUCAAUAAAAUCCCUGUCUGCAUCUGUGGCUGAAAGCACAAAAGCUCAGCACUGAGAUGUACCUACUGCCUUUAAGGAUAAAUCAAACCAACUCUGCGCCGUCGCUUCCUGUAAGCAUUACAGCCCCAGAGAAAUGCACCCUCACCGUUACGAGGGAAGACACCCUCUGCCUCUCCCACACCAAAUCCCAGCAGCAGUGCUUUGCCAAAGAGCCAAAAAGACCAAGUGCUGAGCUGCACAGAAAGGGAUGGAUGUGGAUGACUCGCCCUGAAAUGGAAGACUCCAUCAAGUCAUGACACAAUGCAGGAUGGACUGAGCAAAUCAUAGGCUGUGUUUGUCAUAGAAUCAUUAAGGCUGGAAAAGACCUUCAAGAUCACCAAGUCCAACCUCAGCCCACCCCACCAUGCCCAUCACCACGUCCCUCAGUGCCACAUCUCCAUGGUUCUGGAGCACCUCCAGGGAUGGUGAUCCCACCACCACUCCCUGGGCAGCCCCGUGCCAGUACACCAUCACUCUUCCUGAGAAGUUUUCCCCAGUAUCCAACCUGAACCUAUGCUGGCACUUGAGGCCAUUCCUCUCAUCCUGUUGCUUCUUGCCUCCAACCUGGAUAAAGAACCAAUGGUCCCAUUACCCACUGCCAUUUUGGAUGGUCCUGUGUGGGGCCAGGAGCUGGACUCAAUGAUCCUCAUGGGUCCCUUCCAGCUCGGGAUAUUCUAUGGUUCUAUGAUUCUACCCUGUAGAGAUUAAGGUGCUUCCUGAAUAACAGGCAUCGCUCUGCCUGAGCAAAGAGGACGACAACAGAAAGUUUCAGCUACAGAAAUGAUCACAGCCACUGUUUCCAAAUCAUGGCUGAAGGAGUUUAAAAUAACAACAAAGAAUAGAAAACUGCUUUUGAGAGACAAAGUAAGUUUCUCUACAGCACUAACAGACAUGAAAUAGUAAUUUUCUUCAUUAACUCAUCUUGCUGUAGAUGAAAUGGGGUUUCAGAGGGAAUUCAGAAAUCAUUUCUUCCACAUGAAGAGUUUGUACACUUAAUUUGUUGCAGUAAACCACCAUUCUGCAUGCUGAGGACCUCUGUGUUAGCAGAUGAUGAAACAGCAUCUGCCUUAACUGUUCUUUUCUCCAUUUAACUGGUAAAGUAUUUCCAUCUCAGUGAUGAGAUGAAAAACACAGAGGAGAAAAUCACAGAAGAAAAGAAAUUCACAGUUUUCUAGCCAGAGCAUUCAAGUGGAAUAGCUAAUAUUGCCAGCUUCAGCACAAAGCAAAAUAAUGGGGAAUAUUUUUACACAACUUAUUACAAUGAACAGAUGCAGCACGAGCAUUUCGAAGGCACGCAUUGCAUGCAAGCAGGAUUUCAAAGCAACGUAAGGGACUUACAGAUUCAGAGAUAUAUCUUUUUCAUUACCCCAAACACUACACUUGUCUUCAAUCUAAAAACAAACAUUGACAAUGGAAGAAUUUAUAGGCUCAGGAGUCUGAAAUGUGGCUCUGGUUUCAUAGAUGGGUGCUUGGAAGAAGGUAAUUUGAAACGAUAGACUCAUAAUUGUGCCCAGCGUUGGAGCUGCACACUGAUAGCAGGGGCUGCAGAAACUCCCUCCAACAACACAUCUGUGAGCCACAACCUGCCGAGAACAGGAAUGUGAGGUUGGUUUGAACUCACUCUUCAGGCUUCUGGGGCAGCACAAGGGGUGUUUACCACCUUGGUCUUUCUUUUCAAACAGUGCCCCAAGUACUGGGCUUUGACACCUCUCAAUCCAUGCAGAAUAUGCCUCUUUUCACUCAACUCUCACUAAAACAUUAAUAAAGAAUUUUUCCAAGAGCUCCUUUCUUUUCACCUCCCUCCAACAUUUCUCAUCUAUUAUGCCCAGCAUCUUACAGCAUAUAAAAAUACAUCACUGAAUCUGAAGUGAAAUCUGAAGAGUUUUAAUUGCUCUGAGUCUUGGGAGGCCCCAGCCCCAUCCUCAACUGUGACGCAUUCAAGGAUUCAGCCCUUGGAUUAAUCCCAGGGCUCAGUGGAUGGAUCCAAGGAUGAAAUUUAAAGAAGAGGUUGGGAAUGAUGAUGUCACUGAUCCCAGAAACCCUUCUGGUGAGGAGGAUCUGGCAGUGGGCUCUCCCUACAAAUACACAGGGGUUUUAUGGCAUUCAGUCCCAUGUUUGAUCUGCCAUCGCUCCUUUGUGGCACUGAGGUUAUGGGCAUGGGGUAGAGGGGUUGAUAGUUGGACUCUGUGAUCUUAGUGGCCUUUUCCAGCCUUCACGAUUCUAUGAUUCAUUGCUGUUGCACUGUGUGCAAAGGAGCUGCGGACCAAAAUUAUCAGAAAUAACUUAAUUAUUGUGCCAAGGCCUUCAGAGCUCAGAAAAUGGAUGACUGCGGAGCAUAAUUCUUUUCCUUGCAAUAUUUUGGCAGGGUGUUGAACACAGAAAAGGCACUGUUCCAACAACGAUCAGAAGGGGCAACUGCUAUCCACUAUUUAUUCUCUGUGGUUAACACAAUAUUUUGAGCACAGCCAUUGAGCAGCAAGCUCUCUUGGCACUGCAGGUGCUGUUUAGAUCUUCUCCCUUGUGUGUGUAACACAUGGAACUGGAGAACCAGCACUUACCAGUGUUCACAUAUCAAAGACAUUACAUAAAGAAGCAGCGAACAGGAACGUGGGGAGGCCUGACCGAAUUGCUGCUCUUUUUUGGGAGCUUUCAAAGCUUUUGUCUGCCUCACCAUACGUUAUCUUGUUGGGAAAUGGUGUCUCUGUACCACUCUCUGUAGGAGUGGACUUCGUCCCCAUAAGUAACUAGCCAUAGAUAUCAGGCAAAGUGGAUGUGCAGGUUUAUAGCUUCAUUACCCGCUUUAGCAUCUAUCAGUACUGCAGGGAGAAAUCACAGAGGGAGAUAUUUGUAUGUCUGCAAAUGGCCAAGAAAGCUGAAAUCCACAGUAGUCGGAAUCUUUCGCCGCUGUUAGCAAAAUGCAGUUAAAAGCAGUUUACUGAGCAUACUUAUCUGAUGGCUGUUUGUAAUUUCCAAGCCCUGUGCUGGCUGUGCCCCACACACUGCUCAGCAGCCACCUCGGAGCUGUGAGCCUUUUCUCAGUAAGGAGGAAUCAGAACAAACCGAUUUGUUUCAUAGCGCACUACAAUCCUUGCCCGGAUCAAACUGCAUCUGCACACGAGGGUUGCUGGAGUUACAGAAAGCACAGGAUAGUGCCAGGGAAGAAAAUAAGUCCCUGGGAGGAAGCUACAGAAGUGAUCUUGUUGGGAAGAGCUGAGCAGUGUGGAUAAUGAGGGUCCUCCCAAAAUGCCAGGGGCUGAGCAGGGCUCGCAAGUUGCUGCUGGUGCAGUUCAGCCACCUCUUGCCAUUUAAAUGCUAUCACAACUCCUAUAACUUUCAAAAUAAUAGAAAAAAAAGUAAUGAGCAGUACAUUAAAAUGAAACAUUGCUUGUUCUGGGAAAGCAACUAACCGAAAUACAAAGGACCUUUGCAGUGUCACAGAGAUUUUCCUGACAUCAUAAUGGCUGGUGGGAAGGGCUUGUGUUUGUCUGUGCUCUGCUGCCAGCCUAAUCGGAUCAGCACUGCUAAUACAGUUGAUUUCCCUCUUGCUGACUUUGGGUGUAUAGAUGUGUGUGCAGCUCAGACCAGGGGAGAAAGAAGAAAAUAUUUGCCCCUCCUCUGCUUUUGGCAGCUUUUGGGAGGGGGAUGGCAUCAACUGUAGGAAAUCUAUGUACUGACCAAGAUGCACAGAGGCACAAGAGAAGGGAGGCAAGCCCCAUGUGGACACACUGCCCUGUAUCGCCUGUGCACGAAAUUCCCAGCAUGGUUGAUGCUUUUAGCUUAUUUUAUUUUCUUAAAACACUGCUAAGACUCGUUUUAUCAAGUACCAUUUGCUGGUCUAAUAAAAUAUUGUCAUGUCUCAUGAAGGAAAGCCAGCUGCUCAGCAGAUGAAGCUGUCCAGCAGAGUGCUGGUGACAGCGCUGCAGAUGCGCUUCGAUGCAAUCAAUUUAGGAUAACAAUGCUGAGCAAAGGAGCAGAUGUGCCAGUCUCCUGGCUUGGCUUUGGAUGCUGCAACUGAUGGCAGCUUCUCUAGUCCUGGUCCCCUCCACAUUUAGCAGUGAGUUUUGCCUGCAUCCAGGCUGAGAGUUAACUUGGGUAAGCAGCAGCCACUCCUCCUUCCUCACCUAUGCUGAUUUUCUUUGAGUGUUCCUAAGUGCCUUUUCAAACCAAAUAUAACUUAGCUGGCCCACUGCUUUCUGACAAAUAUCUUUCCUAGCUUUAUUUAUCAUACAGCCAUAAAUAGUUCACUCAACGCUGCACCUAUAGAGCCUGCUUAAAGAUUUUUUUUCCACCAACUGUAUUUCAUCUUGCAGAAAGUGGAAUAUUUACAGUGUUUGUCACCAUUCAGGUAACAUGUGUCAGCUGGCUGCUCGGAACCCAUCACGUAAAGGAGGAAAAGCCCAACAGAAAUGCAACUGGAUACAAUAAAUACUGUGCUUGUGAGUUUGGGCAUUCAGACACACUGUGAGUCAACUUUGAAAAAGCAACUGAACAGAACACAUCACCUUUGCAUUCUCACCUAGUGAGGGCUCCUAAUGCCAUGACAUGCCCACACACAGCGCUGCCACCCAACAGGUGGGGUGCACUUUGUCCCCCCAAACACAUGGAUGUGGAUUGCACACAGAGAAACUUAAGCACAACACCUCCAAAUUGCACUGUGCUCAAAGGAGCCCAAGCAUGCAUGACUCUUGCUGGGGUCAGAAACACCAGCAGGACCUCCUGCCUCUAUCUCUCUGCAGAUUUCUGCUGCAGCUCCAUUGCUCAGCAAUGUGGUCUCUUAGCACACUUUCCCUUUUUCCACACUCGUUCACUCAGGCAGACAGCCAACUAUAAAGCAUUCGCUGAACUCGUCCACAACACCUUGGUAACAACUGAAGCUGACCCCUGAGAACAGGGAAUCACCAACGCCAUUAAGGAGAUUUCACGUGCUUCGUUGUCAUUUCUGAGGAUGAAGCUGAGCUGCCUGUUCAGAUGGGUACUAUGAUGGGGUCACACAUAGUCCUGCAGUCACUCUUCCCCGAUAACGUGACAAUGUCACAUCCAUGCAGUCAAAGAUUAUGUUGCCUUUUGUGAUGUCUUACCCUGGUCCAAGCACAACAAGAAAAAAAGUUGCCUGUUUUGCACAUCACUGGCUAUUAGGCUAUGUCUGGUUACAUCGCAUCAGUUGACACGACAUAAAACAAUGUAAGCAGAUCAGAUGUGACAUAAAUGUCACGUUGCAUCAGGUUUUAAAGAAAUUGGCAGCUAUUACACGACGGAUGAAAAAUGCCAAGAGACGCUCAGCCAUCAUACAGGUAGACCUUCAAGAUAAAGUGAUGUUACCUACCAAACAUAGCCCACAGCUUUGUAUUCUAAUCAUAGAUUCAUGCAGGUUGGAAAAGACCUCUAAGAUCAUCCAGUCUGAUCGUUCACCCACCACCAACAUUGCUCACUGCACCAUGUCUCUCAGUGCCACAUCUACACGUUGCUUGAACACCUCCAGGAACAGUGACCGCACCACCUCCCUGGGCAGCUGUGCCACUGCAUCACCACUCCUUUGGCAAAGAAAUUUUCCCUAACAUCCAACCUGAACCUCCCCUGGUGCAACCUGAGGCCAUUCCCUCUCAUCCCAUCAAAAUGACACAUUAUCAGCUUAUGAAAUGAUCACUUUUACUCUGUGUUAUGCUCCUAUUCCUCUCAAGAAGACGCAGACGUGGUGACCAUUAUCCCUUAUAAAGCACCCAUAAGCAGCAAAUUCACCGACCGAAAAAUAGACAAAACAUGGAGCCUGACUCAAAAAAACACUGAAAUCAAUAACAGGCUAUCUAUUGACUCAAACAGGAAAUGGAUCAGCACCUCUAUGCCUCAGUAAAUAUUUUUACUAUACAACUAAUUUCCCAUUUGAAGGAAAAGCAUCAUUUUUUGUUGGUCAGUGGGAAUAAAGGAGCAAAACAAAUUUAUGUAACAGAGCAAACAGAUUACAAAAGAGAGGUAGCACUUACGUAAGGUAUCAGUGCUAAUGCCAGGCUUGCUUUUAUCAACGUUAUCUUCAUUUUCCACUCAAACAGAAGAGAGUAAAUGAGAGAGCAAGCCUGAUGUUUGCAGCAGCAGUAGUGACAUGGCUUAUGUACGUGCUCCUCCUACCCACUGCUGGCAGAGCAAACGUGGUGCCUGGGCAUCACAGAGCCCUCUGGACACUGAACACUUUCUCACCCUGCUUCUGGAGCGAAAACAGCUUAGGAACCUCUGCAAAAACAGAAAAUGGGCAGCAUCAGUAUUGCCUGCAUGACUUGCACAGCACCUGCACACUGCACGGAGCUGCAGCAGCAAGGGGAGGGCACGACAUACCUGAGGGAGUCUGCUCUCCAAAAUGCAUCUCCUGGAUGAUUUUCUUACACACUGUUUUUCCCUCCUCACGUAGCAUGUGUACACCAGAAACGAUUUCAAUGAUGAAUCAGGCAGCUUACCUGUGGACUAAGACUCCAACUGUAAAGUGAUUCAUCUUAAAACCAGUUUAUAAAUGAGAAACAGACAUCUCGAGGCUGGUAACCUUUCAGAAACACCAUGGUGACAGAUUCUGCCUGACAGAUUUGAUAUGAAUUCUGCCCAUUGUAUAAAUAUUAAUAGCUCUGACGCUUAGCAUUGCAGACUUAAUCUUCUCAGGUGUAUUUGCAGCAAUAGAGCCUGACCCAGCACGGGAAAGAUGCAGUGCAGUGCUCAAGGUGUUAUUUAGAGUCAUUAGUCCUUGACAGGAAAAAGUUAAUUGACAAGCAUUCACAAACGUUGCAUACUUGAACAUCUCAGAGGAAUUGCCCAAUUAAUAUACUGUCAAACAAGCUGAUUUGGGAUCAUUAAGAACCUCUGGCACGGCGAAGGCACACAGGCAGAGCAGGAGGAGUGCGGUCACGUCACUCUCAUUGUGAUGGGGAAAAUGAAGCACCCUGGCAUCCCUGCUGUCAGGUUGGACAUUAGGAAAAGCUUCUCUGAAAGAGUGGUGAGGCAUUGGCACAGGCUGCUCAGGGCGGGGGUGAAGUCACCAUCCCUGGAGGUGUUUAGAAACCAUGGAGAUGUGGCAGUGAGAGACAUGGCUUCAUGGGUAGUCAUGGUGGUAGGUGGACGAUUGGACUAGAGGACCUUAGAGGUCUUUUCCAACCUUAGCGAUUCAAUGAUUCACAUUUCCUAUUGACGCCCUGGAGAGCCCUGUGAGCAGGGCAAGAGGGAAGCAGAGAAGAGCAGGAUUUAAGGUGGAGUGUUCAUAAUGAGGUCUUCCGAGCAGCUCUCAAUGAAAGUCUGCAUCAGUAGAGGCUCAGAGCCCAUCUCCACCAGCCAAAGGCAGACUUUACAGCUCCUUUUGUUCAACGUCUAAGUUAACUGUGCAAAAGAUGUACAAUACUGAGAAAGAGCCAAUUGUACUGAAACUAUGAAGGAUUAAGGAGGCAAGGUGGGAUAAGUAUAUUAAAAAAUCUGUACCUCGGUUGGCUUUGUUUUGUUCUUCUUCUGAACAGCUCCUCUUUGUGCCUUCUGCCUGUGUGGACAAAUUUUGAACAAUUUAGCUGAUGAACAGUCAUUCCCACUUUUAAAAUAAAACAAUUUUAC
ensembl:lncRNA